AUUGAACGCUGGCGGCAUGCCUUACACAUGCAAGUCGAACGGUAACGCGGGGCAACCUGGCGACGAGUGGCGAACGGGUGAGUAAUGCAUCGGAACGUGCCCAGUCGUGGGGGAUAACGCAGCGAAAGCUGCGCUAAUACCGCAUACGAUCUAUGGAUGAAAGCGGGGGACCGUAAGGCCCCGCGCGAUUGGAGCGGCCG
rnacentral:rRNA from 1 species